rnacentral:rRNA from 1 species
UACAGAGGUCUCAAGCGUUGUUCGGAUUCAUUGGGCGUAAAGGGUGCGUAGGCGGCGCGGUAAGUCGGGUGUGAAAUCCCGGGGCUUAACCUCGGGACUGCAUUCGAUACUGGCGUGCUUGAGGACUGGAGAGGAGACUGGAAUUUACGGUGUAGCGGUGAAAUGCGUAGAUAUCGUAAGGAAGACCAGUGGCGAAGGCGGGUCUCUGGACAGUUCCUGACGCUGAGGCACGAAGGCCAGGGGAGCAAACGGG